rnacentral:lncRNA from 1 species
UAUUUUGAGGAAAAAGACUUUGUGGAUAAAGCAGAGAAGAGCCUAAAGCAGACUCCCCACAGUGAGAUAAUAUUUUAUAAAAAUGGUGUCAAUCAAGGUGUGGCUUACAAAGAUAUUUUUGAGGGAGUUUACUUUCCGGCCAUCUCACUGUACAAGAGCUGCACGGUUUCCAUUAAUUUUGGACCAUGCUUCAAGUAUCCUCCGAAGGAUCUCAGUUACCACCCCAUGAGCGACAUGGGCUGGGGAGCUGU